rnacentral:tmRNA from 1 species
GGGGUUGACAGGAAUUGACGGCAGGAUAGUGGAUAAGUAAGCAUGCCGAGCAUUGUGCGAUUUGGCUCGUUAAAUUUAAUGCACGAAAUCUUUUUAUAUGGCGAGAAUACUUUCGCAAUGGCUGCUUAAUACAGGUUAUUAAGCCCGGCCUUUGUACUCCGGAAUAGUUUUUCCAAUACUAUCCGACAGUGCAUAACCGAAUUGGAAUAGUGCUGCAGUUGUUUCGCCUGCAAUAUGAAAUUCAGAAAAUAAGAUGGCAAUCGGUACGCAAUAACGCCUGUUGCCGUUCGAAAAUCAAGUUACUGCUAAGCAUGUAGAAAGCGUAUAAACGUUUUGUCCGGACGCGAGUUCAAAUCUCGCCAGCUCCACCA